GGGAUAAUAUGAAGGUAGUUUUCGAGCUUCACGCUGGUUUCCCGAUGCAUGUUGUAUGCAUACACGUUAUAUGUAUAUAUAUACAUAUGUAUAUAAACAAGCUCUUAACUUUAUGCACAUAAUUGUUAGUAGUUUUGAACUUUGAAGGGGAUAAUAUGAAGGUAGUUUUCGAGCUUCACGCUGGUUUCCGGAUGCAUGUUGUAUGCAUACACGUUAUAUAUAUAUAUACACAUAUGUAUAUAAACAAGCUCUGAACUUUAUGCGCAUAAUAGUUGGUAGUUCUUCAACUUUGAAGGGGAUAAUAUGAAGGUAGUUUUCGAGCUUCACGCUGGUUUCCCGAUGCAUGUUGUAUGCAUACACGUUAUAUGUAUAUAGAUACGUAUGUAUAUAAACAAGCUUUUAACUUUAUGCACAUAAUAGUUGGUAGUUUUUCAACUUUGAAGGGGAUAAUAUGAAAGGUAGUUUUCGAGCUUCACGCUGGUUUUCCGAUGUGUAUUAUGUACUACGUUUUAUACAUGUAUGUUAUAUAUAUACAUACAUAUAUAAAUAUAAAUGUAUAUAAACAAGCACUUAACUUUAUGCACAUCAUACUUAAUAGUUUUUCAACUUUGAAGGGGAUAAUAUGAAGGUAGUUUUCGAGCUUCAUGCUGAUUUCCCGAUGUAUAUUAUGUACUACGUUUUAUACAUGCAUGUUAUAUAUAUACAUACAUAUAUAUAUAUAUA
rnacentral:lncRNA from 1 species